CGGGGGAUGCAAGCGUUAUCCGGAAUCAUUGGGCGUAAAGCGCCUGUAGGUUGUUUAAUAAGUCUGUUGUUAAAGACUAGGGCUUAACCCUAGAAAAGCAAUGGAAACUACUAGACUAGAGUAUGGCAGGGGUAGAGGGAAUUUCUAGUGUAGCGGUGAAAUGCGUAGAUAUUAGAAAGAACACCGGUGGCGAAAGCGCUCUACUGGACCAUUACUGACACUCAGAGGCGAAAGCUAGGGUAGCAAAAGGGAUUAGAUACCCCUGUAGUCCUAGCCGUAAACGAUGGAUACUACAUGUUGUGUUUAUUUCACAGUAUGGUAGCUAACGCGUUAAGUAUCCCGCCUGGGGAGUACGCUCGCAAGGGUGAAACUCAAAGGAAUUGACGGGGGCCCGCACAAGCGGUGGAGCAUGUGGUUUAAUUCGAUGCAACGCGAAGAACCUUACCAGGGCUUGACAUACUGCGAAUCUUUCCGAAAGGAAAGAGUGCCUUCGGGAAUGCAGAUACAGGUGGUGCAUGGCUGUCGUCAGCUCGUGUCGUGAGAUGUUGGGUUAAGUCCCGCAACGAGCGCAACCCUUGUUUUUAGUUACCAAUUCGUUGGGUUUUCUAGAAAGACUGCCGGUGACAAACCGGAGGAAGGUGAGGAUGACGUCAAGUCAGCAUGCCCCUUAUGUCCUGGGCUACACACGUGCUACAAUGGUUAGGACAAAGAGUUGCGAGCUUGUGAAAGUCAGCUAAUCUC
rnacentral:rRNA from 1 species